rnacentral:rRNA from 1 species
UACAGAGGUCCCAAGCGUUGUUCGGAUUCAUUGGGCGUAAAGGGUGCGUAGGCGGCGCGGUAAGUCGGGUGUGAAAUCUCGGAGCUUAACUCCGAAACUGCAUUCGAUACUGCCGUGCUUGAGGACUGGAGAGGAGACUGGAAUUUACGGUGUAGCGGUGAAAUGCGUAGAUAUCGUAAGGAAGACCAGUUGCGAAGGCGGGUCUCUGGACAGUUCCUGACGCUGAGGCACGAAGGUCAGGGGAGCAAACGGG